rnacentral:rRNA from 1 species
UACGUAGGGUGCAAGCGUUGUCCGGAUUUACUGGGUUUAAAGGGUGCGUAGGCGGGUCUUUAAGUCAGCGGUGAAAGUCUGCAGCUUAACUGUAGAAUUGCCGUUGAUACUGGAGGUCUUGAGUAGCGUUGAGGCAGGCGGAAUUCAUGGUGUAGCGGUGAAAUGCUUAGAUACCAUGAGGAACACCUAUUGCGUAGGCAGCUUGCUAAGCGCAAACUGACGCUGAGGCACGAAAGCGUGGGGAGCGAACAGG